rnacentral:rRNA from 1 species
GAUGAACGCUGACAGAAUGCCUAACACAUGCAAGUCUUUGGCGAAGCUGUGCUUGCACAGCCUAGCCAAGGCGGACGGGUGAGUAACGCGUAAGGAACUUGCCCUGCAGUCAGGGAUAACAGACGGAAACGACUGAUAAGACCUGGUAAAGUCAGGCGGACUCAUGUCCAGCCCGAUGAAAAGUGAUGCUGCAGGAGAGCCUUGCGUCCUAUUAGCUUGUUGGUGGGGUAAGGGCUCACCAAGGCGAUGGUAGGUAGCCGGCCGGAGUGGGUGGACGGCCAGACGGGGACGGGGGGACGGAGCUGACAACUACGGGAGGCAGCAGUAGGGAAGAUUGAGCAAUGGCGGCUGCGCGAAGACAGCAUUUGUGUGUGCACGAUGAAUGUUUUCGGAUUAUAAAGUGCUUGCAGCAGGGAAGAAGAAAUGACGGUACCUGCAGAAGAAGCGACGGCUAAAUACGUG